GCUGCAAGGCAGGAGUGGGGUGGCUGCCCUGCCAGAGAGACAAGGGGGAUUGCAAAGAGAGGAUCCUCCAGCAGAAGGGUGAGAAGCUGCCAGACCAACCAACCCACGAAAGAGGGAAAAGCAGGGCAAGAAGCUGGGGAAAACUACAGAGACCAGAAGAUUCCAACUGGGGAUGUGCAAAUAUCCAUAGUGAUCCUGGAAGACCCAGCCUAACCCUUACUCCUGCGACUCAUGAAGCCUUACACUGGGAACCUAGACAGCAGCAAGGAGCGCUUCAACAACAGGCUCAGCAGGUUCCCUGGUGAAUCCCAGCUGACACCUGCAGAAGCACUCUUCACCCACCUCUGCUUGCAUAGCAUGAAUGGUCCAGGUGGGAGAACAAAGAUGGACAUGAUCCUUGGCAGUCAGUCAGUCAGUCAGUCACUCACUCACUCCAUCUAUAGACAGAAUAAAUUCAAGUAUGUUGAGCCCAUAUGAGUACUUCUGGGAUGGGGGUAGCUGUGCAGGCAGUAGAGCUGUAGACAGAACAUGCCUACUUUCUAUGGAUCACAUCCCCUUAUUUCACUGCACUUAGAAAAAUACAGAUAAAAAGACAGAUGUUAGAAUUUGCUGUAUUCUGUUUGUAUAAAUAAAAUCAGACUAUGCACAGUUGUGGAGAUAUGCCUUUCUCCAGAAGAAGUGCUGGGUUAGAAUAUGGUCUUCUGAAAGAGAUUCCUCCAGAGAGAACAAAGUUGAGAGUCAGGUUGGGUUUACUCAGUUGGACUCCGGAAUAAAAACCUCACAUGCAAAAGUGUUCACACAGACUAUGCACUGUUCCACUUACCUCCAUUGAAUCCAAACUGUGUAAUGAUACAGUGAUAUUUAUGUUGCCUACAAAUCAUGCUAUCCACCUCCUGAGGCUGGAAUCCUUUACACUCAUUACUCUGGGGAUUAUUUAUUGAGUAUGGUCAUCAUCUUGACUGGACAAUUCUCCACAUAGCUGUUUAUACCUGAAGCACUGUCCAGAAAGACUCUUCUGCUUGGGUAUUCUGAUGUCAUCUUCACAUCAAAACAUUUCUGCAAACAUUCAUUGCAGAAGCCCCGAGUAAGGGCCUGAUCUUGUGUUGGUCAUCCUCAUGUUCCACUGAGUUCAACAGGAGUUGAGGAUGCUCAGCAACUCACAGCCUUGCACUUAAAGAGUUCAAUUUAAAUGAAAAAAAAAUCAGAAAAUGGAGAGAUCGGGCUGAUUACCUACACACUAUUAAGACUUUCCCCCUAAAUACAACACCGUGUGUUAAGAAUCGGGCAUCAAUGUUCACACAGCCUUUAUAUUAUUGCAACAUAGGGCUUGGGGUUUUUAUUUAUAAACAUAAGAAAAAGAGCUGCUAGUAACACACAUAAUGAAGCUGUCUCAUGCUCUGUGACACUUGUCCGUUGGCUACCUUUUAAAGUGGUUGUUAAUCAUUUUUGUUUGUCUUGGUUGUUCCCAGGGUUGGGGUUUUGUUUUGUUUUAAGAUGUCAAUUCAGCCAGAUUCUGAAAUCACCAAUAUUGUCAUGGGCUAACCUGUACUUUGACUAAUGAUAGUCUGAAAAUGGCUGGUGCUCCCAGGAACAUGUGUUUUGUAUUGAAGAACAAUGAUACAGUUUUGUUUGCUCUCAUAAAUAAUGAUUUUUUUCUCAGACCACAAGUAAAGAUUGUCUGUACUAGUCUCCCUAGUUCAGUAAUUGAUCUGAAGAGUAUGCUGCAUUAGUGCUAUCAAUAUACUGAUGAGUACAUGCCGCUUAGAGAGCUGAAGGGCAUUAUAAAAAAAUAAAGAGGGGGUUGAAAUUAGCUUUGUGGAUUAUCUUCUGUUAAUGGCAAGGCAAAUGUUGUU